CUGGUUGAUCCUGCCGGACCCCACUGCUAUCGGGAUGGGACUAAGACAUGCUAGUCGUGCGCUUUCUAGCCAUGCUGGAAGCGCGGCACACAGCUCAGUAGCACGUGGCUAACCUGCCCUUGGGACGGGAACAACCCCGGGAAACUGGGGCCAAUUCCCGAUAGGUGAAGAUCCCUGGAAUGGGUUUUCGCCCGAAAAGACGUUUGGGUCAUGCUUUCAGACGUUGCCCAAGGAUGGGGCCGCGGCCGAUCAGGUUGUUGGUGAGGUAACGGCUCACCAAGCCUUUGACCGGUUCGGGCCGUGAGAGCGGUAGCCCGGAGAUGGGCACUGAGACAAGGGCCCAGGCCCUACGGGGCGCAGCAGUCGCGAAAACUUCGCAAUAAGCGAAAGCUUGACGGGGCCAUCCCGAGUGCCAUCUGCUGAGGAUGGCUUUUACCCAGUAUAGAUAGCUGGGGGAAUAAGGAGAGGGCAAGUCUGGUGUCAGCCGCCGCGGUAAUACCAGCUCUCCGAGUUGUGGGGACGUUUAUUGAGCCUGAAGCAUCCGUAGCCGGCUGUGCAAGUCCCCUGUUAAAUCCAGCGACUAAUCGUUGGCCUGCGGGGGAUACUGCUCGGCUAGGGGGCGGGAGAGGCCGUCGGUAUUCUUGGGGUAGGGGUGAAAUCCUAUAAUCCCAGGAGGACCACCAGUGGCGAAGGCUGUCGGCUAGAACGCGCCCGACGGUGAGGGGUGAAAGCUGGGGGAGCGAACCGGAUUAGAUACCCGGGUAGUCCCAGCUGUAAACGAUGCAGGCUAGGUGUUAGGGCGGCUACGUGCCGCUCUAGUGCCGCAGGGAAGCUGUUAAGCCUGCCGCUUGGGGAGUACGGCCGCAAGGCUGAAACUUAAAGGAAUUGGCGGGGGAGCACCACAAGGGGUGAAGCUUGCGGUUUAAUUGGAUUCAACGCCGGG
rnacentral:rRNA from 1 species